rnacentral:misc_RNA from 1 species
UCCCUGUUUGGACGUCAUGAAAAAUAACAGUUUUGGAAAAUUUAGUGCGGUCAUAAUCAAAUUUUACCCACAAGAUAUGAACAACAGUCCUUUAAAUUGUUGUAAUGUAAUCGAGUGUGGAGUCCGUCUACUAUAUGACCAAGAUGAGAAAUAUGUUGAUUUUGUUGUGUCACCUAUUCCUUGGUCUCCAGCUAGAAAAAAAAUAAAACCUCUCUCUCUCUCGCAGACAUCUGUGGAUAAAGGAAUUCUUAGUUUUUUAAAUGGAACAUCUCAUCUGCUUGAUGACAGUAAUCAAGAAACUGAGGAAGAAAGGUACAAAGCCAAGAGACGUCGUCAUGACAAGUGUUGUAGUGAGACUGAGCGUAGUAGAAGCACCUUCAAGAAUUACAUGGAAACUAGCACAAAUGACUUGGAGGAAGAAGACCUUAGCCCUCUGUUUGUUUUGAAGGAAACAACUAAAAGUCGUAGGAGUAAACGAAAGAGAAGGAUAGACUUUGC